rnacentral:rRNA from 1 species
CUUCCGGUAGGGGACCUGCGGAAGGAUCAUUAAAGAAAUUUAAUAAUUUUGAAAAUGGAUUUUUUUGUUUUGGCAAGAGCAUGAGAGCUUUUACUGGGCAAGAAGACAAGAGAUGGAGAGUCCAGCCGGGCCUGCGCUUAAGUGCGCGGUCUUGCUAGGCUUGUAAGUUUCUUUCUUGCUAUUCCAAACGGUGAGAGAUUUCUGUGCUUUUGUUAUAGGACAAUUAAAACCGUUUCAAUACAACACACUGUGGAGUUUUCAUAUCUUUGCAACUUUUUCUUUGGGCAUUCGAGCAAUCGGGGCCCAGAGGUAACAAACACAAACAAUUUUAUCUAUUCAUUAAAUUUUUGUCAAAAACAAGAAUUUUCGUAACUGGAAAUUUUAAAAUAUUAAAAACUUUCAACAACGGAUCUCUUGGUUCUCGCAUCGAUGAAGAACGCAGCGAAAUGCGAUACGUAAUGUGAAUUGCAGAAUUCCGUGAAUCAUCGAAUCUUUGAACGCACAUUGCGCCCCUUGGUAUUCCAGGGGGCAUGCCUGUUUGAGCGUCAUUUCCUUCUCAAACAUUCUGUUUGGUAGUGAGUGAUACUCUUUGGAGUUAACUUGAAAUUGCUGGCCUUUUCAUUGGAUGUUUUUUUUCCAAAGAGAGGUUUCUCUGCGUGCUUGAGGUAUAAUGCAAGUACGGUCGUUUUAGGUUUUACCAACUGCGGCUAAUCUUUUUUUAUACUGAGCGUAUUGGAACGUUAUCGAUAAGAAGAGAGCGUCUAGGCGAACAAUGUUCUUAAAGUUUGACCUCAAAUCAGGUAGGAGUACCCGCUGAACUUAAGCAUAUCAAAAGCGGGGAAGAG